CAAUAGCGUAUAUUAAAGUUGUUGCGGUUAAAAAGCUCGUAGUUGGAGUUCUGCCAGGUGCCGCCUGUCCGCCCCAGUGGUGAGUACGUGGCGCGCAUUUGGCCCUUUCAAGGGGAGCGUAUCUGCACUUUAUUGUGUGGUGCGGGAUCCUUGACUUUUACUUUGAGGAAAUAGGAGUGUUCCAAGCAGGCUCUCGUCGUGCACAGCUCAGCAUGGAAUAAUAGCAUUGGACCUCGAUUCUAAGCUGUUGGUUGCCAGAAGCGAGGUAAUGAUGAAGAGGGAUAGUUGGGGGCAUUCGUAUUUAACUGUCAGAGAUGAAAUUCUUGGAUUUGUUAAAGACGGACUACUGCGAAAGCAUCUGCCAUGGAUGUUUUCAUUGA
rnacentral:rRNA from 1 species